CACGCCGUAAACGAUGAGUACUAAGUGUAGGGGAAACUCUGUGCUGUAGUUAACGCAAUAAGUACUCCGCCUGAGUAGUACGUACGCAAGUAUGAAACUCAAAGGAAUUGACGGGACCCCGCACAAGCGGUGGAUCAUGUUGUUUAAUUCGAUGAUACGCGAAGAACCUUACCAGGUCUUGACAUCCCCCGCGAUGCUUUAGAGAUAAAGCGGAGGUAUUCGGGGAGACAGGUGG
rnacentral:rRNA from 1 species